CACUGGUCAUUGGUCCCCACACUUAGUAGUCACUGAAUCACGUCUUUUGUUGGUAUAUUUUUGCGACCCUUUGACUAGCAUUCAGUUCUUUCUUACGUCUGACAAGUACCACAAUAUUUUUGACAGGACAUGAUCUGAGUAACUUUUCAAAAAUGUAUAUCAACUGCUGUGGAAAUGCAAAAUAAUAAAUGAUCUUGGAAAUUAAAUUAAGACCGUCUCAAAUACACGAUGGAUUUAAUUGAUCGUUAAUGAUCAUUUUAUAAAAUAUAUAGAUGGAACGAUUCUUUUCGACGAAGAUAAAUUUUUAAUACAACCGUGGAAGCCGCUGUAAAAUGUGGCCUGACACAAUUUACCGCCACCGCAACAGUUUGCACGGGUCUUUGAUAAUAUGCCAUUUAACCGCAAAACUAUAUCAAGGGUAAAUAUAAUAUUCAAUAAUAAGAACACGUCAUCACGGCCAAUAUAAAUCACACGCUAUAAUGUAUGAAACACUUCCAAAACAUACAUUAAGGUACACGAUAAAGAAAACACCACACCUCAUUGUAAAUAAUUAAUACGUUUAUAAACAACGCACAGAUAUACUUAUAGAUAUAAGUGUAAUAAUUAUCCAUAACGGUAGGUAAUAAUGGUCGGAAAAGUUAGUAAUGUUGGAAAAAAAUUGUUGAUUGUAUUCAAAAACUUUUCAACUUUUUUUAACUUUGUUUUAUAGAAUAUAGUGUUUAUAGUAAUGCUGUAGAUAAAUUGAAUUCUUUGUCCUCAAAUUAAAAUAGCCAACACAGUAUUGUACCAUGUAAAGUGAUAUUCCGUGGAAAAAUUUUAGUUAGACUCUAUCUUACUUAUAAAAUAAAAUAUCUAGUAUGUUACUUUAGUUACAGUGUAGGACUAGUUAUGAGAAACCUUGUAUAAAAUUUUCACAAUGUAUUGCCGGUUGAACUAUGAAUUUCCAUUUUGCCCUAAUUUUUUUUUUUUUUUGUUCAUCCCAAUUAUUAAGAAAAGUAUUGAGAAUUUUCGAAACCUCUCAAAGUACUAACUAGAUUCUAUUUCUUACCAGAAACUAUCCCCAAAGUUAUAAAUUGAAGCGUUUUAUCUACUAUUUAUCAUCGUAUUGACACAAACAAACCACACUUCAUUGUAAAAUCAAUACAUUCAUCGCUCCUAUGAGUCUGAUCAGAAUAUAAAAUAAAUAACAAACUUUGAGUAUGAAAUUAUAUAAAAGUACUCAGAUUUAUUUAUUUAUUCAAGCAUAAUAUGACAUAGCAUUCUGAUAGUAAUUUUAAAAAAUAUAUAUUUUCCUGUUAAAAUUUUAAAAAAAAUCGUCUUAUAGCAUAAACAUAAACCUAAGUAUAGGUAGAUUUUACGUGAUUUUAUUAACUUUUUAUCACCUUGAUUCGUUAAAAAUAACUGUUUCUAUAGGUACUCUUAUACAGAGUUAUUAUAAUGCACCCAUUUAUAAAUUACAUUUUUUUUUAAUUUUCACUAUGAACCUAUAUGAACUGCCAACUGGGGUAGGCAAAAUACUAAAAAAUCAGUAUCACGAUACUAGAUACUAGAUGCUUGGAUUUAGAGUACCAAGAUGCUAGAUUUUCGAUACUAUACUAUAUAUUAGUUAGUUAAUAUAGACCACAAAAUGUAAUAACUUAAUAACAAUAUUCUACAAGAUAAUUAAUUAUUAUUCACGUACAUAAUUAUUUAGAGAGUCAUAAGCUACAUAGGCAAUAAGUAAUAAGUUAUUAUAAGUUGUAGUAGUUAUUACUUAAUUAUUAUACUAGUAUUAUAUAAUAUAUUAUAUUGAUAAAAAUCGCAAAUAUUGAUUAUUAUAAUAAUAUAGUCAAUAAUACUACUAUAAUAACUUGGAAUUUAAUUAUAUAUUUUAUAAAAUUAUACAAAUAAUUAUAGUAGGUACAAGAUACCUAUGUUAUAAAUAUUUAAUUGUAUAAUGUGUAUUGUAUAAUAAUAGUUACUAGUCAGGGUUGAACUUAAUUUACAUUGUACUUAACGUCUAGAAAACGAAUAAUUUAUUUACUUGUUUAGUAUAACAUAACGCCUUGUUUCCUUUUAAAAAUACUAAUUUUUCAAAAGUGACAUCUGAUAAUUUAUUCUUACAAGUUGUAAGCUACAGUCUCCAAAAAAUCACCUAUAUAACUACUCAAUUGUAUUUGUAUUCUCAAAAUAAAUAUUAAUUAUGAUAGUAAAAAUCAGAAUUGUUGAUAAUUUGAAAUUAAUUAAUACUGCAAUAAUUAAAUUAUGGUAUUCAUAAAUUUAAAUUUGCCGCGCCUUUUUCACAUAUUUUACUAGAACAUAUUCAAACAGUCGCGGUUGAUAGGUAGGCGUGUGAAAAUAAUCGUAAACAAUUAUUAUUUCAAAGUAUAGCAUUAAUGUAUCGAGAUACAAGAUACAAGAUACAACUAUCGAAGAUGCUGCCCAACCCUGCCUAUGAAAUUAUACUUAAUAAUAUGCAUAAAAAAUAUGUACAUUGUUCAACUAUUAUUAAUACAAAAUAAACCAAAUCAUAUUUGAUGUGAGUAAUGAUCCAUUCCAUUUUUUUUUAUAAACUGAGAUUUUCUUAGAGUACCACCACAGGUUGAGGAACGCUGCUAUAGAGUAUAAUAGACAUUUGUAUUAUACAAUAUGUACCUAUUAACAUAUUAUGAACAUUUCAAAAUAAUGCUAAGAAAUACAAAUUAUACGCGAUGGAGGACAUACCUAUUCAAAACAAA